AAUUUCAAUCAAAAAAACAUACCAGUCUUAAACACCCUCGUUUAUUCACGCUAUUUUUGCUGCGUGGAUGGUAGCCCCCCCCCCCAGUGGGCAUUAUGAAACAACUUGAAAUAAGGGAACUAUCGAGAAACCAGGUCUCUUUGCAAUCUCAGAGCCUCUAUAUACUUGGGAAGAAAAUCAUCUACAGGCAAACACAUCAUCUCAUUUAAAACUAAUACAACAAAUGGCUGACAGCAUCACAUCAGACUUAAAUUAUGGAAAUGACACACACACACACACACAGGCACACUUGUUACAAUCAGAAACAAUUUCUUCCAUCUGUACUCCAUCGCAGCAGAAGUCAGAAAACUACAACUCCAUCCAGUGUAGAUUGCAGAUGGGUUAUGCUGUGCUUGGUUUAUAUAGCACAUCUCUUGUCAGUGCUGGUGUCCGGAGAUGGGGCCAGUUCUAUUGACUGGGUCCAACUGAGGAGGUUCCCCCUGAAGAUGGAGACAGGAUCCAGUCUACAAAAAGCUGAAUUUUAAAUAAAAACGGGAGGAUGGAUAAUGUCCAUAAACACAGUAACUGUGCUAGUAGGGAGGUUUGUCUAGAAGUGAACAUAGAAAAACUGAAGUAUAUGUUCAUGAUGUGUCAUCAGAAAUAAAGAUUGCUAAUAAAUUUUUCAAAUACAUAAUAGAGUUUAAAUAUCUUGGAAGAGUAACAAAUUAGAAUUGCACUUAGGAAAAAAUUAAGAGCAGAUUUAAUUUGAAGAAUUCUUGCUAAUGCUUGGUACACUCAGAAGAUUCUCUUCUUUGCUGUCUAUAAAACCUUUACAUGUUCUUUUGUAUACGUGUGAAACUUUGUCACAUUAAGGGAAGAACAUAUUAGUAUGGUUGAGAGAAUAACUGAGGAAGAAUUAAGAGGAGACUAGAAAAUUCAUGAGGAGCUUUGUAUUUUGUACUCUCUCCUGGCUGGACGAACAAAUAAAGGAUAAGAGGGUGCACUGAAGAUGUGUAAAAUGCAUACAAAAUUUUACUUGAAAAUCUUGAAGAGAGAACAGUUGGGAGACCUAGGCUCAAUGGUAGGACAAUAUUUAAACAUUCCUAGAGAAAUAGUAUGAGACAGUGUGGAUAAAAUUCAUUUCUCUUAGAAUAAUGACCAGAGGCAGUUUUCUGUAAAGAAGAAAUGAACUUUUGGCUUCAUCAAAGGCAGGGAAUCUGACUAGUUGAGUGAUUAUUAGUUUUUCACAGAGGAUCCUGCUCCAUGGAGAUUGUCACUUGAGAGGAAAUUCUUCACAUCUG